ACAUUGAUAUUGAUAAUGAUGAUGAAAUACUUGAGGCAGUCCCUGACCUGGCCCAGGGGCCAGAUGAGCAACCCAUGAAUCCUCCACCUCAAGAAAGGCCUG